UACGUAGGGUGCAAGCGUUGUCCGGAAUUAUUGGGCGUAAAGAGCUCGUAGGCGGUUUGUUGCGUCGGCUGUGAAAUCCCGAGGCUCAACCUCGGGUCUGCAGUCGAUACGAGCAAACUAGAGUGUUGCAGGGGAGACUGGAAUUCCUGGUGUAGCGGUGAAAUGCGCAGAUAUCAGGAGGAACACCGGUGGCGAAGGCGGCAUUCUGGACCAAUACUGACGCUGAGGAGCGAAAGCCAGGGGAGCAAACGGG
rnacentral:rRNA from 1 species